rnacentral:rRNA from 1 species
UACGAAGGGGGCUAGCGUUGUUCGGAUUAACUGGGCGUAAAGGGUGCGUAGGCGGGGUUUUAAGUCAGGGGUGAAAUGCCGAGGCUCAACUUCGGAACUGCCUUUGAUACUGGAACUCUUGAGUCUGGGAGAGGUGAGUGGAACUGCGAGUGUAGAGGUGAAAUUCGUAGAUAUUCGCAAGAACACCAGUGGCGAAGGCGGCUCACUGGCCCGGAACUGACGCUGAGGCACGAAAGCGUGGGGAGCAAACGGG